rnacentral:rRNA from 1 species
UUAACCUGGUUGAUCCUGCCAGUAGUCAUAUGCUUGUCCCAAAGAUUAAGCCAUGCAUGUCUAAGUAUAAAUCGUUAUACGGUGAAACUGCGAAUGGCUCAUUAAAUCAGUUAUAAUUUAUUUGAUGGUUUCUUUACUACUUGGAUAACCGUGGUAAUUCUAGAGCUAAUACAUGCAAAAAGCCCGACUCACGA